AUUGAACGCUGGCGGCAUGCCUUACACAUGCAAGUCGAACGGCAGCACGGGUGCUUGCACCUGGUGGCGAGUGGCGAACGGGUGAGUAAUACAUCGGAACGUACCUUAUCGUGGGGAUAACGCAGCGAAAGCUGUGCUAAUACCGCAUACGCCCUGAGGGGGAAAGCGGGGGAUCGAAAGACCUCGCGCGAUUAGAGCGGCCGAUGCCUGAUUAGCUUGUUGGUGGGUAAAGCCCACCAAGGCGACGAUCAGUAGCUGGUCUGAGAGGACGAUCAGCCACACUGGGACUGAGACACGGCCCAGACUCCUACGGGAGGCAGCAGUGGGGAAUUUUGGACAAUGGGCGCAAGCCUGAUCCAGCAAUGCCGCGUGCAGGAUGAAGGCCUUCGGUUGUAACUAGCUUUGUUACGGUAACGAAACGGUAGAGCUCUAAUACAGUUUGUCUAAUGACGGUACCGUAAGAAUAAGACACCGGC
rnacentral:rRNA from 1 species